AGAGUUUGAUCCUGGCUCAGAAUCAACGCUGGCGGCGCGCUUAACACAUGCAAGUCGAACGAGAAAGCCCAGCAAUGGGUGAGUAAAGUGGCGUACGGGUGAGUAACACGUGGGUGAUCUACUCUUUGGUGGGGAAUAACCCUGGGAAACCGGGGCUAAUACCGCAUAAGCCUCUAUUUUCAAAGUGGAGGGAAAGGUGCAAAUCGCCGAAGAAGGAGCCCGCGGCUGAUUAGCUAGUUGGUGGGGUAAAGGCUCACCAAGGCGAAGAUCGGUAGCCGGCCUGAGAGGGCACACGGCCACACUGGCACUGAAACACGGGCCAGACUCCUACGGGAGGCAGCAGUGGGGAAUCUUGCACAAUGGGGGCAACCCUGAUGCAGCGACGCCGCGUGAGCGAUGAUGCCCUUCGGGGUGUAAAGCUCUUGCGGCAUGAACGAUAAUGACUGGUACCUGAAGACGAAGCUGCGGCUAACUACGUGCCAGCAGCCGCGGUACUACGUACGCAGCGAGCGUCGUUCGGAGUACUGGGCGUACAGCGUGCGUACGCGGUCUCGUAAGUCUGGUGUGAAAUCUCGCCUGCUCAACUGGGGAGCGGUGCGCCCGGAAGCUGCUAAUGCUCGGAGUAUAGGAGUANGUACGCCGAAUUCCCUGGUGUACCGGUGCAAUGCGACNCAUCUCAUGAGGAGCAACUGUGGUGUAAACUGCUUACUGUACCAUGACUGACCCCUAAGCCUGAAGCCNGGGGAGCACCUGGGUCGAUACCCUGGAUU
rnacentral:rRNA from 1 species